rnacentral:rRNA from 1 species
AACGUAGGAGACAAACGUUAUCCGGAGUUACUGGGCGUAAAGGGCGUGUAGGUGGUUCUGUAAGUCUGGCGUGAAAUUUCUCGGCUUAACCGAGGCAGGUCGUCGGAUACUGCAGGGCUAGAGGACGGUAGAGGCGUGUGGAAUUCCGGGUGUAGUGGUGAAAUGCGUAGAGAUCCGGAGGAACACCAGUGGCGAAGGCGACACGCUGGGCCGUACCUGACACUGAUGCGCGACAGCAUGGGGAUCAAACAGG